rnacentral:tRNA from 1 species
GGAAACUGUAGCUCAAAUGGAAGAGUGUGGCCUCCGAAGCCAAGGGAUGUAGGUUCGAAUCCUACCAGUUUCCACCA